CCUACGGGUGGCUGCAGUGGGGAAUAUUGGGCAAUGGGCGCAAGCCUGACCCAGCAACGCCGCGUGAAGGAAGAAGGCUUUCGGGUUGUAAACUUCUUUUCUGAGGGACGAAGAAAGUGACGGUACCUCAGGAAUAAGCCACGGCUAACUAUGUGGCAGCGGCCGUGGUAAUACGUAGGUGGCAAGCGUUCGCCGGAUUUAUUGGGUGUAAAGGGCGUGUAGGCGGUAAAGCAAGUCAGAUGUGAAAACUGAGGGCUCAACCCUGAGCCUGAAUUUGAAACUGUUUUUCGUGAGUGCUGGAGAGGCAAUCGGAAUUCCGGGUGUAGCGGUGAAAUGCGUAGAUAUACGGAGGAACACCAGUGGCGAAGGCGGAUUGCUGGACAGUAACUGACGCUGAGGCGCGAAAGCGUGGGGAGCAAACAGGAUUAGAUACCCGGGUAGUC
rnacentral:rRNA from 1 species